rnacentral:rRNA from 1 species
GACGAACGCUGGCGGCGUGCUUAACACAUGCAAGUCGAACGGAAAGGCCCUGCUUUUGUGGGGUGCUCGAGUGGCGAACGGGUGAGUAACACGUGAGUAACCUGCCCUUGACUUUGGGAUAACUUCAGGAAACUGGGGCUAAUACCGGCUAGGAGCUCCUGCUGCAUGGUGGUGGUUGGAAAGUUUCGGCGGUUGGGGAUGGACUCGCGGCUUAUCAGCUUGUUGGUGGGGUAGUGGCUUACCAAGGCUUUGACGGGUAGCCGGCCUGAGAGGGUGACCGGCCACAUUGGGACUGAGAUACGGCCCAGACUCCUACGGGAGGCAGCAGUGGGGAAUAUUGCACAAUGGGCGGAAGCCUGAUGCAGCAACGCCGCGUGCGGGAUGACGGCCUUUGGGUUGUAAACCGCUUUCGCCUGUGACGAAGCGUGAGUGACGGUAAUGGGUAAAGAAGCACCGGCUAACUACGUG